rnacentral:rRNA from 1 species
UGAGGAAUAUUGGACAAUGGGUGAGAGCCUGAUCCAGCCAUCCCGCGUGAAGGACUAAGGCCCUAUGGGUUGUAAACUUCUUUUAUACUGGGAUAAACCUACUUACGUGUAAGUAGCUGAAGGUACAGUAUGAAUAAGCACCGGCUAACUCCGUGCCAGCAGCCGCGGUAAUACGGAGGGUGCAAGCGUUAUCCGGAUUUAUUGGGUUUAAAGGGUCCGUAGGCGGACUCGUAAGUCAGUGGUGAAAUCUCAUAGCUUAACUAUGAAACUGCCAUUGAUACUGCGGGUCUUGAGUAAGGUAGAGGUAGCUGGAAUAAGUAGUGUAGCGGUGAAAUGCAUAGAUAUUACUUAGAACACCAAUUGCGAAGGCAGGUUACCAUGUCUUAACUGACGCUGAUGGACGAAAGCGUGGGGAGCGAACAGG